UACGGAGGGUGCAAACGUUGUCCGGAAUCACUGGGCGUAAAGAGCAUGUAGGUGGUUUGGUAAGUGGGUGAUUAAAGACCGAUGCUUAACAUCGGGACUGUUGUCCAUACUGCCUAACUUGAGGGUAACAGGGGUAAGCGGAACUUUAGGUGUAGGAGUGAAAUCCGUAGAUAUCUAAAGGAACACCAAUGGCGAAGGCAGCUUACUGGGUUAUUUCUGACACUGAGAUGCGAAAGCGUGGGGAGCAAACGGG
rnacentral:rRNA from 1 species